rnacentral:rRNA from 1 species
AGAGCGAACGCUGGCGGCAUGUUUAACACAUGCAAGUCGCACGGUUGGGGGCAACUCCGGCAGUGGCGGACGGGUGAGUAACGCGUAGGUAUUUAUCCAUGGGUGGGGGACAACCGCGGGAAACCGCGGCUAAUACCGCAUGAUGCCUGAGGGCCAAAGCUCGCGAGAGCGCCUGGGGAGGAGCCUGCGUCCGAUUAGCUAGUUGGUGGGGUAACGGCCUACCAAGGCGUCGAUCGGUAGCUGGUCUGAGAGGAUGAUCAGCCACACUGGGACUGAGACACGGCCCAGACUCCUACGGGAGGCAGCAGUGGGGAAUAUUGGACAAUGGGCGCAAGCCUGAUCCAGCAAUGCCGCGUGGGUGAAGAAGGUCUUCGGAUUGUAAAGCCCUUUCGACGGGGACGAUGAUGACGGUACCCGUAGAAGAAGCCCCGGCUAACUUCGCGCCAGCAGCCGC